rnacentral:lncRNA from 1 species
AGCUAAAGAUUCUCACUUCCAUUUUACAGAGGGAGGAGGAUAGCUCGCCAUAGCCAAUUGUCCAUCCUCAAAUCCAUUACCCAUAGACUAUCCGACACCAUCAAUCACAUGAGGCCAGAUCUUACAGAUUGCUUUCCAUAGCGAGAAUCUUUUCCUUUAGCCUGUACAUGAGGAAUGCAAUCCUUUAUCCUGCUAUGCUUGCCUCGAAGAACAGUACCUGCCCAAAGACUGUUGCUGUCAUGAAUAAUUCCCCAAC